CAUGCAGUCGAGCGGUAGAGAGAAGCUUGCUUCUCUUGAGAGCGGCGGACGGGUGAGUAAUGCCUAGGAAUCUGCCUGGUAGUGGGGGAUAACGCUCGGAAACGGACGCUAAUACCGCAUACGUCCUACGGGAGAAAGCAGGGGACCUUCGGGCCUUGCGCUAUCAGAUGAGCCUAGGUCGGAUUAGCUAGUUGGUGAGGUAAUGGCUCACCAAGGCGACGAUCCGUAACUGGUCUGAGAGGAUGAUCAGUCACACUGGAACUGAGACACGGUCCAGACUCCUACGGGAGGCAGCAGUGGGGAAUAUUGGACAAUGGGCGAAAGCCUGAUCCAGCCAUGCCGCGUGUGUGAAGAAGGUCUUCGGAUGUAAAGCACUUUAAGUUGGGAGGAAGGGCAGUAACUUAAUACUUUGCUGUUUUGACGUUACCGACAGAAUAAGCACCGGCUAACUCUGUGCCAGCAGCCGCGGUAAU
rnacentral:rRNA from 1 species